rnacentral:rRNA from 1 species
ACGAAGGGGGCUAGCGUUGUUCGGAAUUACUGGGCGUAAAGGGCGCGUAGGCGGCCUGUUUAGUCAGAAGUGAAAGCCCCGGGCUCAACCUGGGAAUAGCUUUCGAUACUGGCAGGCUUGAGUUCCGGAGAGGAUGGUGGAAUUCCCAGUGUAGAGGUGAAAUUCGUAGAUAUUGGGAAGAACACCGGUGGCGAAGGCGGCCAUCUGGACGGA